rnacentral:rRNA from 1 species
CACGUAGGGUGCGAGCGUUGUCCGGAAUUAUUGGGCGUAAAGAGCUCGUAGGCGGUGUGUCGCGUCGGCCGUGAAAACCUGCAGCUUAACUGUGGGCGUGCGGUCGAUACGGGCAUCACUGGAGUUCGGCAGGGGAGACUGGAAUUCCUGGUGUAGCGGUGAAAUGCGCAGAUAUCAGGAGGAACACCGGUGGCGAAGGCGGGUCUCUGGGCCGAUACUGACGCUGAGGAGCGAAAGCGUGGGGAGCGUACAGG